GAACGCUAGCUACAGGCUUAACACAUGCAAGUCGAGGGGCAGCACAGAGAUAGCUUGCUAUCUUGGGUGGCGACCGGCGCACGGGUGAGUAACGCGUAUCCCAACCUGCCCAUUACGUCGGGGAUAGCCUUGCGAAAGUAAGAUUAAUACCCGAUGUUGUUGAUUGCCGCAUGACGAUCAAACCAAAGAUUUAUUGGUAAUGGAUGGGGAUGCGUGACAUUAGGUAGUUGGUGAGGUAACGGCUCACCAAGCCCACGAUGUCUAGGGGUUCUGAGAGGAAGGUCCCCCACACUGGAACUGAGACACGGUCCAGACUCCUACGGGAGGCAGCAGUGAGGAAUAUUGGUCAAUGGACGAGAGUCUGAACCAGCCAAGUAGCGUGCAGGAUGACGGCCCUCUGGGUUGUAAACUGUCUUUUAGGUUGGGAAUAAAAAGAGGGACGUGUCCCUAAUUGUAUGUACCAUCAGAAAAAGGACCGGCUAAUUCCGUG
rnacentral:rRNA from 1 species